GUUACAGCAAAUGAGAAUCCAACAGGUGCUCAGUACAAGUCUUCACUCUAAGGCUGACUGCUAGCAACUGAUGCGCUCUGUGGACGACAAAAUUUCAUCCA